rnacentral:rRNA from 1 species
AGAGUUUGAUCCUGGCUCAGGACGAACGCUGGCUGCGUGCUUAACACAUGCAAGUCGAACGCUGAAGCCCUGGUGCUUGCACCGGGGUGGAUGAGUGGCGAACGGGUGAGUAACACGUGAGUAACCUGCCCCUGACUUCGGGAUAAGCCCGGGAAACUGGGUCUAAUACCGGAUAUGAGCAUGGCCCGCAUGGGUGGUGCUGGAAAGUUUUUUCGGUUGGGGAUGGGCUCGCGGCCUAUCAGCUUGAUGGUGGGGUAAUGGCCUACCAUGGCGACGACGGGUAGCCGGCCUGAGAGGGCGACCGGCCACACUGGGACUGAGACACGGCCCAGACUCCUACGGGAGGCAGCAGUGGGGAAUAUUGCACAAUGGGGGAAACCCUGAUGCAGCGACGCAGCGUGCGGGAUGACGGCCUUCGGGUUGUAAACCGCUUUCAGCAGGGAAGAAGCCUGACGGUGACGGUACCUGCAGAAGAAGUACCGGCUAACUACGUGCCAGCAGCCGCGGUAAU